GUGAGGAAUUUUCCGCAAUGGGCGAAAGCCUGACGGAGCAAUGCCGCGUGAAGGAUGAAGGCCUAUGGGUUGUAAACUUCUUUUCUCAGAAAAGAAUUAUGACGGUAUCUGAGGAAUAAGCAUCGGCUAACUUCGUGCCAGCAGCCGCGGUAAGACAGAGGAUGCAAGCGUUAUCCGGAAUGAUUGGGCGUAAAGCGUCUGUAGGUUGUUUAAAAAGUAUUCUGUCAAAGAUUAGGGCUUAACCCUAGAUAGGCAGAAUAAACUUUUAAGCUAGAGUUUGGUAGAGGCAGAGGGAAUUCCCGGUGGAGCGGUGAAAUGCGUAGAUAUCGGGAGGAACACCAAAGGCGAAGGCACUCUGCUGGGCCAAUACUAACACUGAGAGACGAAAGCGAGGGGAGCAAAUGGGAUUAGAAACCCUUGUAGUCC
rnacentral:rRNA from 1 species